GGGAUUGUGGCUCAGAGGCAGAGCGCUCACCUAGCAUGUGGGAGGCCCUGGGUUCGAACCUCAGUGCCA
rnacentral:tRNA from 1 species